UUAAAUAAGAUUUUUAAGAUUUUCGGAAACCCAAAACGUUUGAUUUGUGACGCGGGUAGCGCAUUUACAUCAAAGCUAUUCACAGAGUAUUGCAACGCUAGGCAUAUAAGACGUCAUAUUAUUGCGACAGCCGUACCUCGCUCGAACGGCCAAGUCGAGCGAUAUAACUUGACGAUUUUAGAAGCCUUGCGCAGCAUGGGCGCUGAUACAGAAAAUAAUAAAUGGGAUACGCACAUACCAAGUAUCCAACAAGGCAUUAAUAGCACUGUCAACAAAACCACAGCCGCAGUACCCAGUGAGGUUUUUUUUGGAUACCGAAUUCGAAUGAAUAAUGAUGCGAUUAUUGAUGAUAAUUUAGAAAGUACUAUCGAUGUCACUGCAUUAAGAAACACUGUCGAUAAUAAUAUUAAAAAAGAUGCCGAACGACAGAAAGCAUCAUUUGACUCAAAAAGAAAGGAGGCAAGGCAGUAUAAGGUUGGCGAUUUAGUUGUGCUGAAAAUUCCUAGUCAGUCCAAUGAUGGUAAUAGCACAAAAUUAUUACCUUUGUACAAAGGGCCCUUCCAAAUUACCGAGGUUUUAGGGCAAGAUAGGUACAAGGUCACUGAUCUUCGAGGCGCUGAAAGGAGUUCUAAAAGGUAUGAUGGAACGGCUUGCGUGGAGAAUAUGAAGCCGUGGAUCCAUAUAGAGGAGUAACCGGCUGUUGUCGAUGAAAGCUUCCGCAUCAGGCCCUAACGAGUUCCAGGAGUAACUCGUGGUCCAGGAGGGCCGGAUGUUGUCGCCACGGCAUUUUGGCAACACCACUUUGACGAUCCUGGCAACGCUGCGCGUGACGUACAUCCGGAGCUGUCAAACCCAACGUCAUAAAAGGACAAGCACAAGGCGGGAGCGACCACUUGCCAUCUAGCAGCCACCAGCGAGGGACUACUUGGUUAUAAAUGUAUUGCUGAUCUGAGUAUAAUUGUAUCAUACCUAUUUGUGAUAUCAUUCACGGUCGUAUUAAGUGUAAUAUGAUCUGCAUAUUAUACUUAAUACGAUCAGUUUGUUUCUUGUACAAUUGUUAAUUGAAUUAAUAAAUAAAUGUAUUGAUGUUG